rnacentral:rRNA from 1 species
UGGGGAAUAUUGGUCAAUGGGCGAAAGUAGAAGCAGCCACGUCGCGUGAAGGAAGAAUGUUCUAUGGAUUGUAAACUUCUUUUGUAGGGGAAUAAAAAAGAGUACGUGUACUCUAUUGUAUGUACUUUACCAAUAAGGAUCGGCUAACUCAAUGCCAGCACCCGCGGUAAUGAUAAAA